rnacentral:snoRNA from 1 species
AUCCCUUUGUAGUUCAUAAGAGUGGUGAUUGGAUAUUCACAUCAUUAUGUAACAUGUGCCUCCCUGUUACAACCUCAGCAUAUUACCUGUCUGACA